CGCUUUACGUUAACUCGUGACAAGUUUUUUCCGGCUACAAGAGUAGAACAUUGACUAAGGGUAGCUGCUGGUGUGCCUGCCAAUCCUUCAUUGGUGCACUUAGGGCAUGGCUGAGAAAUUGAUUUUGAAUAACACUAUACUCAUUUCCGCAUUUUGACCCUCCCGCGCUACAUUCAAAGAACUUCCUUAUGAAUGUGACUGAUAAAAAUUCAUGUUGCUUCUGACAUGUCAUAAUUUCAUUUUGUUAUUAUUAAAAUUAUAUGUUGU
rnacentral:lncRNA from 1 species